rnacentral:lncRNA from 1 species
UAAGAAUGUCAUGUAAACAAAAACUAUUACACACAACAUAUCAAGUAUUACAAAUCAAUCACAAAGUAUGUAAUUUAAACCAAAUACAAAUUCAUAACCAAUACACUUUCAAGGAAAGAUUAGAAAUUUAUACCAAACUAAGUCAAUCUAUCUUUCACAUCGCAAAGGAAGAAUCCAAGAAUAUAAGUAUAAAAAUGGAAAAAAUCCUAAGCUUUAAUAAAAUGGCUAAAUCAUCAUAUAUAAGUAAAAUUUCACAACAAGUUUUUUCUUUGUUAAAAAUCACUUAUAAGACUUAAUUUGAUAAGAAUAUCAAGUUAAGGAUUUUUUUCUAUCAAAGUAUCUAAAUCUUAGUUGACAUUAAUAAAGUCAACUAAUAG